rnacentral:rRNA from 1 species
GAUGAACGCUGGCGGCGUGCCUAAUACAUGCAAGUCGAACGCGCAGCGAAAGGUGCUUGCACCUUUCAAGCGAGUGGCGAACGGGUGUGUAACACGUGGAUAACCUGCCUCAAGGCUGGGGAUAACAUUUGGAAACAGAUGCUAAUACCGAAUAAAACUUAGUAUCGCAUGAUACAAAGUUAAAAGGCGCUACGGCGUCACCUAGAGAUGGAUCCGCGGUGCAUUAGUUAGUUGGUGGGGUAAAGGCUUACCAAGACGAUGAUGCAUAGCCGAGUUGAGAGACUGAUCGGCCACAUUGGGACUGAGACACGGCCCAAAAUCCUACGGGAGGCUGCAGUAGGGAAUCUUCUACAAUGGGCGCAAGCCUGAUGGAGCAACGCCGCGUGUGUGAUGAAGGCUUUCGGGUCGUAAAGCACUGUUGUAUGGGAAGAAAUGCUAAAAUAGGGAAUGAUUUUAGUUUGACGGUACCAUACCAGAAAGGGACGGCUAAAUACGUGCCAGCAGCCGCGGUAA